UUUCUUAGGUAAAGUGGUGAAGCUAGGCACCUGCGUUGAUCGAUAUGAUGGGAAAACCCAUCCCAUUGGGUCCAGCUGGAGGACUGCCGAUUGCUUCGUUUGUGAGUGCAGUCGAGCUGGAAUGAGAUGUUGUGAGAGAGAACGUGGUAUUGUACUAGUUGAAAGAUGCAAGAACGGGGAAAAUCCAGAAUCAUGUAAAGAUGCAGCCAUUGGACUUGAUGACAAAUGUCGGCUUAUCAUCCCUAAAGAUGAUAUAGAUAUUACAAUAUUGGAAAAGCUAUUAUACCUGGAAAGAAAUUGGAAUAAAUCUCCCACAUUCCAUUCAUAACCCAGCUCUAUUGAAAAUGGUGAAGGAUGCAAAAUAGUGGUAAAUCCAGAAAUACGUAAACAUGAAAAUGUAGGCUAGAUCGUAGUGUUGAUUCUCAUCCCCUCCAUGGAGAACUGGAAUAAAUGUCUUACCUAAGCAUCUUAA